ACUUCUUCGGAUGCAUAGAAUGGAACACACAGACAGGAGAUAUUUAUACAUACAGAGAACAUGAAAAGGUGGAAGUAUGGAACACUUAGUCCCAAAUUUGUAGUAAUUUUCUACUACUUCACCAUCUGAGAGAUCUGGAUCUGCUUUCUGCUGGACUAGUGGGGACCAAGACUACUGCAGGAACACGACAUUCAGGCCUUGGCUUGCUCAUUACUGAUCCUGACAGCCGAAGAAGGAACACUGUUAGAUAGUUAAGAGGGGUUUUUUUGUGUGUGUGUGUGUGUGUGUAGACAGUCACCUUUAUACAGCCAGAAAGACAGUAACUGAUCUGGGAUGGCGGGCAGAUCCAGGGAUGGCAGUUUUGCUGUUUAGAGCUGCCCAAGGACCACGUGGUUGUUGGGGAGAGGAAUUGAGCAGGUUCAUUUUCGCUCUCAAUCUAGAGAACAGAAUAAACAGGGAGAGAGCAUUACUCUUACUGUUGGCUUGCUAGAAUGUGUAUGUAACUAUCUUAGCUCUUAUAGUAAAUGGUAGCAAGGGUUGAUAGCUUUUUUUGGUGUGGUUUUUGGUUUUGGUGGCCAAGUAGAGGAACGUAGCUUAUUUUUACUUAGCCGUCUUUAUUUUUUAGCUAUGUAUAAUUUAGUGAAAUUUAAUGUAUAGUUUAGCUUUUUUAGCACUUUGUUUCCUUGCUAUGCAAGAUAAAUAUCCAUUAUCAUAGAACUGUCUGGAUGGAGUUUAAAUUCUGUGCUUGGCUUAGAAAUACAUAAUUGUGUAUAUUACAUGCUUCAGAUAAUGCUUUGCUUUGUAUUUUGAAUAUUAUUAUGUAUUUGUUCUGAUGGGUUACUUUGACAUUGAUAUUUCUAAGCCCUA